UACUGUACUAACCAAAUGACACUCCCGUUCAUGGGAUGCUCUAAUGAAGGUCAAAAGGCCAAAACAGUAGCAUAAUAAAAAAUGAUAUUUUGAGAACAUAGUGGGUGGGAGUUCUCAAUUUGUUACUAUUGCUGUCCAUCUUCAGUGAAUUUUCAAACAACCUAAUCCAGAUGUUUGAGUUUCACGUCAACUUCUCCCUCCAUCCAUCCCCUUCACAGGCUGUAGCAGGACCCCCUGGUGUGAAAGGAGCACAGGGACCUGCUGGUGUGACCUUAUCUGGGACAAUGGGAGAGAGAGGGCUGCCAGGGCUACGGGUAGGUCUGCUUGGUUGAACCAGUUAUUUACAUCAGCUAUUAUUCAGGCAUUUACUAUACAGAUUACCAAACAUGAACAAGAAUGUUUAGGGAUUUCUGGGUUACCACGUGUUUCUAAAGUUGUAUUUUUCUAAAAUGUUUGUCCUUUAGGGUGAGAGGGGGGACAAGGGUCCUGCAGGCACCAAAGGGGACAGGGUGAGUAAUGUCACAUAAUACAACAUUAGUCAACAUUCACAGACACUACAUUAUGACAGUGAUAAGGGAAAUUAUUGUGUGUGUGUCUGUCUGUUUCUGUGUCUUGUUGAAAUAGGGCCCUGCUGGUGAAAAUGGCGAGCCUGGAGAAGAUGUGAGUCACCUUUUGACAUUUUGUAAUAUCAAAUAUUUAAUGUCUAACAGAUGUCAGUCUUACUUACUUCUCCAUCCACUUUGUCUCUUUUAGGGGGGCAGAGGACAUGCAGGGCCUAAAGGAGACAAGGUAAUGCAAAUCACCAGCUGAUUCCUCAUGUCUGUGUUUCCCUGGCUGCUAACCAUGUGACAGUACUAACAGGAUUUGUGUUGCAGGGAGAGAGAGGCAUCGGACUGGCAGGGCCUCCUGGUCAGCUGGGACCUCAAGGGUUAAAGGUUACUAUCAUACGGAAUGUUCUCAUAAACAAAAAUCACAUAUGUAGCUAUGUUCAUAUUAACAUCAAAUCAAAUGUUAUUUAUCACAUGAGCUGAAUACAACACCUUACAGUGAAACACUUACUUAUAAGCCCUUUACCAACAAUGCAGUUUUAAGAGAAAAAAUAAGUGUUAAG
rnacentral:lncRNA from 1 species